UACGUAGGUCCCGAGCGUUGUCCGGAUUUAUUGGGCGUAAAGCGAGCGCAGGUGGUUUAUUAAGUCUGGUGUAAAAGGCAGUGGCUCAACCAUUGUAUGCAUUGGAAACUGGUAGACUUGAGUGCAGGAGAGGAGAGUGGAAUUCCAUGUGUAGCGGUGAAAUGCGUAGAUAUAUGGAGGAACACCGAUGGCGAAGGCGGCUCUCUGGCCUGUAACUGACACUGAGGCUCGAAAGCGUGGGGAGCAAACAGG
rnacentral:rRNA from 1 species